rnacentral:lncRNA from 1 species
GGUAACCACCUAUCUCACAUAAAGUCAAUCAAUAGCCUUUAUUCAAUCAAUUACAUAUCAUACCCUGCAGGGUAUCUUCAUACCCGACUUGCAAGUCAUCAAUAUCACAUCAAUUCUUCAACUUCUCAUGCCAUUUAUAUCAUGCACAUAUAUAAAACUUUCACACACAUUAACCACAUGCACCAUGGUUCUCAAAAUGUAAUAGUUCAAGAAGUUUUAUCAUAUAAAUUGCAAAACUCGUACUCUCAAUGUUUAACACAAGUAUAGUAUGGGGUGUAAAACAUUAGCAUGGGGGAUUCUAAAGAAUUCACAAUUUGUACACAUGGCAUCCUUUCAAAAUUCAAAUCGCAUGCUCACAAUUCAACAAUUGAAUAUAUUCAAGCAAGAAACCCCCCAUGAUAUUAAAAAAUUUCUUUCAAAACCAUGUCACAAAACUUGUCAUUGGUAUUGAAACGAAAACCCCACUUGUAAUAAUAUAUACAUACUUGUAUAAAUUUAAAGGCUUGCAUAAAUUUUUUUUUUUUUUUUGAAAACAUGCCCAUGAAAUUUAGGACAACCUCACAUACCUCUAUUUACGAACUUAGCGGGUGCUUCUUGAAGCCUACGUUGCGGGGAUUCCAAUUCUCCAAUUUGUUUCGAAAAACCAUGGUUGAAUCUUGAACUAUGUGGGUUUUUAUUUCGAAAUCCUAAUACAAGUUCUUCAACAAUUUUGAUGAAUGAGACUCUAUUUUGGCUUUCUAGGGAUUAAAUCCCGUGUUAUUGAUGAUAGGGGAUGAAAA